rnacentral:lncRNA from 1 species
CACACUCAAACUACACAAAUUAUACAAGUACAAGUGCUUUAGGUACGUGUACAAAUCUAGGGAAAUAAGCAAUUAAAUAGAAGUGUGAGAAAUGUGGUAUAAAUGGAUAACUAAAGUCAAAUAUACUAGAAAUGAAGGGAUCGAUAUGCAAAUACAUUGCCAGAAAAGGAAUUUACAGGAAAAAUGUGAAGGACCAACGAAGCACCUAAAGAAAAAUAUUAGGCAAAAUAUGAAGGAAGGCAGCUAUAUAAACAAGCCUACAUCCGCCUCUACCGUCAGAGAACACCACAAAUUUCUCUCUGAGUCUCUCUCCCAACUAAUUUCAAAUCUCGUAUGUUUUUCUUUCAUUUUCUUUCACUUUCUCAGCCUUUCUUUUCUCAAGAGUGGGAGAGAGACUCAGAUACAUACAAAGAUUACAGAGAUUAAUAAGAGAGCAAAAUGGGGAUGAAGUUUGUGGAGAUUUUGGAUCAAGGCGCGAGAAUAGUUUCCAGGUCUUAUUCUCAUUGCCCCCAAACCAGCCGGUUGUACUACCAUCCUCCCCUAGCUAAACAUGAAGACUGCCACCAUCACCAACACAACCAAAAUUUUGGAGAUGGCACCACCACCUCCGGUGACGGUGAUGCCACCACGUCCCAGAGCUGCUCAUUUGGUCCCAGGGCAGCGGCUGAUACUAAUGAGUUUAUUCUUUUUUCGGUCUGAUUAAUAUUCAAGCAAAAGUGUAAUACAUGCUUACACAAAUAUUGGUUAUAUUAUACUUGUUUAUUUGAGAGAGACAUAUAUAAUAUAAUGCAACCCAAAAAUUAAAA